rnacentral:rRNA from 1 species
GACGAACGCUGGCGGCGUGCUUAACACAUGCAAGUCGAACGAUGAAGUUCUCUUCGGAGAAUGGAUUAGUGGCGAACGGGUGAGGAACACGUGAAGAAUCUGCCCUCCACUUUGGGAUAACUCCGGGAAACCGGGGCUAAUACCGAAUAUUGAAGCAUAAGCGGCAUCGCUGAGCUUUGAAAGAAUUUCGGUGGAGGAUGACUUCGCGGCCUAUCAGCUUGUUGGUGAGGUAAUGGCUCACCAAGGCUACGACGGGUAUCCGGCCUGAGAGGGCGACCGGACACACUGGGACUGAGACACGGCCCAGACUCCUACGGGAGGCAGCAGUGGGGAAUAUUGGGCAAUGGACGCAAGUCUGACCCAGCGACGCCGCGUGAGGGAUGAAGGCCUUCGGGUUGUAAACCUCUUUCAGUAGGGAAGAAGCGAAAUAUGUGUCUGUG